rnacentral:rRNA from 1 species
UACGAGGGGUGCAAGCGUUGCUCGGAAUUAUUGGGCGUAAAGGGUAGGUAGGUGGUCUCAUUUGUCUGGGGUGAAAGCCUUGAGCUUAACUCAAGAAGUGCCCCGGAAACGGUGAGACUGGAGUCCUGGAGAGGGUCGUGGAAUUCCCGGUGUAGCGGUGAAAUGCGUAGAGAUCGGGAGGAACACCAGAGGCGAAGGCGGCGACCUGGACAGGUACUGACACUCAACUACGAAAGCGUGGGGAGCAAACAGG